GGAUGUGAGGGUGAUCUGGCUGCAACAUCUGUCACCCCAUUGAUUGCCAGGGUUAAUUCAGCUGAUCUGGCUGGCUAGGCGGGUGUCCCCUUCCUCCCUCACCUCUCCAUGUGCGUCCCUCCUAAAGCUGCACUCUCAGUCAAAGAGGACGACCAUCCCCAAUAGAGGAGGACCAGUCUUCGGUCAAGGGUAUAUGAGUAGCUGCGCUCCCCUGCUAGGGCCUCCUCACAAUAAUAUCUUUACUUCUAUUUAUAUUUGUUUUAUAUGCUUAGAAGCUCCAGUGUUGGGUGCAUAUGAGAUCAGGUUCCAAGUCACCAGGGAGGCUUAGCUCUCCAAUAAGAUGUGCUCUUCCAGACUCU
rnacentral:snRNA from 1 species